rnacentral:rRNA from 1 species
UCGGAUUGUAGGCUGAAACUCGCCUACAUGAAGCUGGAAUUGCUAGUAAUCACAGGUCAGCAUACUGUGGUGAAUACGUUCCCGGGCCUUGUACACACCGCCCGUCACACCAUGAGAGUUGAGAAUACCCGAAGCCCAUGUCAAAGUGGUCGAAGGUAGGCUUGAUGAUUGGGGUGAAGUCGUAACAAGGUAUC